AUGUACCCACGUACACUCCGGUUCCUCCGCGCCGUCAGCACCCACCUGACGGCUGCUCGCUACGUUUUGUUAGCC
rnacentral:sRNA from 1 species